CAGGAUGAUUCUGAAACAGUUGCCAUGAUCAAGGAAUUGUUAGAGACUCGAAUUCGACCGGCAGUGCAGGAUGAUGGUGGGGACAUUGAAUAUAGAGGUUUUGACCCAGAUACUGGAAUAGUAAAACUUAGAAUGCAAGGGGCAUGCAGUGGCUGCCCAAGUUCAUCGGUGACUGAAAUCAGGCAUUGAAAAUAUGCAGAUGCAUUAUGUUCCUGAGGUCAAAGGUGUGGAACAAGAAUUGGAUGCUGAGGAUGAUGGAGCAGCAUUAAGUGGACAAAUGAAAUAGUUGAACUUUGUGUUUUUGCUCAAAAUUGCUGCCUGCAUUUAGUCUCGUCAUGCAUGCAUUUUCACACUCAACAGAGACUUCGAAGUACAACAGCAGUACAUGAUGGAAACAAAAAGGGGUGAGUGUACACAAAAAAAAAAUAUUGAAUAAGUCGUGGGUUGGAUACAUUGUAGUGUGGCAUGAAAUCAUAGUUCCAAGCAAGUUGGAUCUUGCUGACAUAGGAUGAAAGUAAUUUAUGACACGAUGCCAUUACAGAGACAGGGUGUACUGUACCUUAUUCUUUUCGGCCUGCUUAGCUUUGAUUCUUGUUUUUCCCUUUAUAGUUAGGUUGUUACAAGAGUAAAAGGCAUUGUUUGCCUGUUGCCUCACACACCUUUAUUGAUAUCGCAAUGAUUCAUAACACAAACUAAGCUCAU